AUACGUAGGGUCCAAGCGUUAUCCGGAUUCAUUGGGUUUAAAGGGUCCGCAGGCGGGAAAAUAAGUCAGUGGUGAAAGCCUACAGCUCAACUGUAGAACUGCAAGUGAUACUGUUUUUCUUGAGUAUAGAUGAAGUGGGCGGAAUAUAUCAUGUAGCGGUGAAAUGCAUAGAUAUGAUAUAGAACACCGAUCGCGAAGGCAGCUCACUAAACUAUUACUGACGCUCAGGGACGAAAGCGUGGGGAGCGAACAGGAUUAGAUACCCUAGUAGUCC
rnacentral:rRNA from 1 species